rnacentral:rRNA from 1 species
UACGGGGGGGGCAAGCGUUGUUCGGAAUUACUGGGCGUAAAGGGCUCGUAGGUGGCCAACUAAGUCAGACGUGAAAUCCCUCGGCUUAACCGGGGAACUGCGUCUGAUACUGGAUGGCUUGAGUUCGGGAGAGGGAUGCGGAAUUCCAGGUGUAGCGGUGAAAUGCGUAGAUAUCUGGAGGAACACCGGUGGCGAAGGCGGCAUCCUGGACCGGCAUUGACGCUGAGGAGCGAAAGCCAGGGGAGCAAACGGG